UACGUAGGAUGCAAGCGUUGUCCGGAAUUAUUGGGCGUAAAGAGCGAGCAGGCGGUUUGGAAAGUUGGACGUGAAAUUUUAGGGCUUAACCCUAAAGGGUCGUCCAAAACCCCCAGACUAGAGUGCAGGAGAGGAAAGCGGAAUUCCCGGUGUAGUGGUGAAAUGCGUAGAUAUCGGGAGGAACACCAGAGGCGAAGGCGGCUUUCUGGCCUGUAACUGACGCUGAGGCGCGAAGGCUGGGGUAGCGAACAGG
rnacentral:rRNA from 1 species